rnacentral:rRNA from 1 species
CAUGCAAGUCGAACGAGGAUAUAUCCUUCGGGAUAUAAGCCGAGUGGCGCAAGGGUGAGUAAUGCAUAGAUUACCUGCCUCUAGGAUAAGGACAACUUUGUGAAAACGAAGCUAAUACUUAAUAAUACAAGUGGAAAUAAUUUCCAUUUGUCAAUGGGAGGGUAGCAAUACCUUUUGCCUGGAGAGGGGUUUAUGUCCUAUCAGCUUGUUGGUGGGGUAAUGGCCUACCAAGGCGAAGACGGGUAGCCGGUCUUAGAGGAUGGUCGGCCACACUGGGACUGAGACACUGCCCAGACUUCUACGGAAGGCUGCAGUCGAGAAUCUUUCGCAAUGCCCGAAAGGGUGACGAAGCGACGCCGCGUGAGUGAGGAAGGCCUUCGGGUUGUAAAGCUCUGUCAGGAGUUAAGAAAUGUAAGUGUGCUAAUACCACAUUUAUUUGACGAAGGCUCCAAAGGAAGCCACGGCUAACUCUGUGCCAGCAGCCGCGGUAAUACAGAGGUGGCAAGCGUUGUUCGGAAUUAUUGGGCGUAAAGAGCACGUAGGUGGGUUUGUAAGUCAGAUGUGAAAGCCUUCUGUUCAACGGAAGAAUUGCAUCUGAAACUGCGAGUCUUGAGUGUAGGAGGGGAGAAUGGAACUUCUGGUGGAGCGGUGAAAUGCGUAGAUAUCAGAAGGAACGCCGGCGGCGAAAGCGAUUCUCUGGCCUAUUACUGACGCUCAGUGUGCGAAAGCUAGGGGAGCAAACGGGAUUAGAUACCCCGGUAGUCCUAGCCGUAAACGAUGGGCACUAAGUAGAGGGAAUUACCGAUGUUCUCUCUGCCGUAGCUAACGCAUUAAGUGCCCCGCCUGGGGAGUACGGCCGCAAGGCUAAAACUCAAAAGAAUUGACGGGGGCUCGCACAAGCGGUGGAGCAUGUGGCUUAAUUCGAUGCAACGCGAAGAACCUUACCGGGGCUUGACAUGGUAGAAGUAGGAACCCGAAAGGGUAACGAACGGUAUCCAGUCCGUAACUAUCACAGGUGUUGCAUGGCUGUCGUCAGCUCGUGUCGUGAGACGUUGGGUUAAGUCCCCUAACGAGCGAAACCCUUGUUUUUAGUUACCAGCGGGUUGUGCCGGGUACUCUAGAAAGACUGCCGUCGUCAAGACGGAGGAAGGUGGGGAUGACGUCAAGUCAUCAUGGCCCUUAUGCCCCGGGCUGCACACGUGCUACAAUGGUCGGUACAAACGGAAGCGAAGCCGAGAGGUGAAGCGAAUCCUAAAAAGCCGAUCUCAGUUCGGAUUGGAGGCUGAAAUUCGCCUCCAUGAAGUUGGAAUCGCUAGUAAUCGCGGAUCAGCAUUGUCGCGGUGAAUAUGUUCCCGAGCCUUGUACACACCGCCCGUCAAGCCACCCAAGCAGGAUGCACCCGAAAACAUUAUAUCUAACCAGGUUUACCUGGAGGAAAAUGUUGAAGGAGUGUUUUGUGAGAAGGACUAAGUCGUAACAAGGUAGUCGUAGGAGAACCUGCGGCUGGAUCACCUCCUUUCU